UCAUUUCUAGAGGGUACACACAGAACCUGUUAAUGUUGUGGUGGUGGGUUUUUUUUAAACCUGCCCCCACCCUGAAUGAUUUUGUAGAUAUUUCAGAAACCCACAGGAAUUCAUUUUUCUUUCUGCAGUUAAUUGAAACACAUAAAGCAGAUUAAUCAUAGAAAGUAUUGCUUCUACAGUGAACAAAACAACAAUCAUGAAAAAAUAUUUGUUUAUAUAGAUUUUUAAAGCUUAUUUUGGAUAUUUUUCCUUUCAACAAAUUAGUAUGAGAAUUUAAAAGUAUUGUACAUGUUUUAAAUUAACACUUAGAAAAGGGAAACAAUGUCUUCUAGCCAAAUCCUGUGGUUAUAUCUCAUCCUUAGCUCCUUAAUUGCCCUCAUCAUCUUCUUGUAUCAGGAUUACAGACACGUUUCCUAAUCCUUUCCCUCACCUCCUGCAGUCCCUUUCUGCACAUAUUGUUAGGUCUGUUGGCAUCAAGCCAUUUACUUUGCCUAAGUGUUUGUGUUGGCUCUAAAAUGUCUACAAAAAUGAAAGACCAGAUUUUUCAGCUGAGUGUUAUUUCCCUAGGUAGUUGACUGCAAUUUCCAACUUGGUUGUGCAGCACAAUGUGCACCUUGCUGCCUAAACAGGCCUUGUCAUCAUUCAUUUCAUACACAUUGCUGCUUCUAUGCCUUUACUAGAAUGCCUUGCCCUGCUCUCUAUCAAGCUAGGCCAUACACAUUCUCCAAGAACUAACUUGAGCCUAGCGUGGUGGUGUAGGCCUAUAAUGCCAGCUACCCAGAAGGCUAAGCCAAGAGGAUUCCAAAUUCAAGACCAACCUAAGCAAUUUAGCAAGACCCUGUGUCUAGCCACGCAUGGUGCACGCCUGUAAUCCCAGUGACUCAGGAGGCUGAGGUGGGAUCAUAAGUUUGAGGGUAGCCUCAGCAGUUUAGUGAGACCCUAUCUCAAAAAAUAAAAAGCUGAGAAGGGGGCUGGGUUUGUGGCUCAGCAGUAGAGUGCUUGCCUUGCACAUAUGAAGCACUGGGUUUGAUCCUCAGCACCACAUAAAAUGAAAUAAAGGUAUUUUGUCCAUCUGCAACUAAAAAAGCUGGGGAUGUAACUCAGUAGUAAAGUACCCCUCGGUUCAAUUUCCAGAACUACCCCUCCCCCAAAAAAAGACUGUCUCAAAGUACCUUGGGUUCAAUCUGCUGUGCCACAGGGGAAAAGGAAAAAAAGUAGAAUCCUUUUUCUUGAAGACACCAGCACAUAUUCUAUGCUUUUCCCUCAUCCCAUAGUGGUAGAGAUUCAUUGUCUCUACCACUCAGUUAAGCACUUAAAUGUUUUCUCAAUGUUCUGUGACUCUUUGAUUAGACUGUAAGUCCCAUGAGAGCAGAGACCAGUUAGCCUUUAUAAUGGUGCCUAACACGGUGCUAGGUACAUCUUAG
rnacentral:lncRNA from 1 species